CAAAAUUUAGUUUAAUAAUAAAAUAUUAAUUUUGGAUAUUAAAGAUUUAUAUAAAUUUUGA
rnacentral:tRNA from 1 species